CAGCCGUAAACUAUGCGCGUUAGGUGUAUCGGUGACCACGAGUCACCGAGGUGCCGAAGGGAAACCGUGAAACGUGCCGCCUGGGAAGUACGGUCGCAAGGCUGAAACUUAAAGGAAUUGGCGGGGAGGCACCACAACAGGUGGAGCCUGCGGGUUUAAUUUGGACUCAACGCCGGGAAGCUCACCGGAUAGGACAGCAGAAUGAUUGCCGGGCUGAAGACCCUGCAUGACUAGCUGAGAGGUGGUGCAUGGC
rnacentral:rRNA from 1 species